CUGUGUUUCAACGGUACUAUUAUUUAAUGACAUUCGUUCCAUUCGCAAUAAAAUUAAUGUUUUUGAGGUUCAAAAAUUAUUGGAAUAUUAUAAAACAUCUCUAGUAUCGCAGUUCACAACUUGCCUUUUUUACUCUUCUAAUUAAGAUUAUCCGAUCUAAUAUUCAAACUUUAGAAGUUUAGAUCGUUAAUAUUGUGAAUACUCUUAGCAAAGAUGUUU